AUGAUCGCCAAAGUCGACAAGUACUUGUCGGGGUGGCGGGCGCGCCUUCUCUCCCCUGCCGGGCGGCUCGUCCUCAUCAAUGCCGUCCUGGAUGCUCUUCCCACGUACGCUAUGGCGGCUAUGUUGCUCCCUCCGGCGGUGAUCAAGGCCCUAGACUCGCUACGCCGCGCCUUCCUUUGGAACGCGGCUGAACGCGCUUCUGGCGCCCAAUGCUUGGUGGCAUGGGAGAGAGUAUGCCGAUCCAAGGCGGAGGGCGGGUUGGGGGUUCGCGACCUCGCGACGCAAAACCGGUGCCUUCUGAUCAAGAUGCUGCAUCGGCUCCAUGCCUGCUCCGCACCGUCGCGGUGGGCGACGUGGGUCUGGGCCGAGCUCGCGGGACGGUCCCUCCUCUCCGGGUCGGCAGCUUGGACGACCGGGGAGCACGGCAAGGCUCUCAGCGGUCUCCUCCCGCUCUACCGCGGUCUUACGAUGGUGGAAGUCUGUGACGGGAAGCGAACAUCCUUCUGGUUCGAUAAAUGGCUCCCGUGCGGAGCUGUCGCGGCAGCCUUCCCCGCCCUCCUCUCACAGGCGACUGAACCGGAGGUCACGGUGUGA
rnacentral:rRNA from 1 species